GCAAACCCUCCGCAAUGGCGCACCGACGUCACUGCUCAAGGUUUAUCUGUCUUGGGCUUGGCAUGGACUCUUGACUUGGCCGCUUUGUUUCUUUGGUUUCAUUCUCUGUGCAUCGUACAUUCGAACAGCCGUUAUGUUAUUGCUAAGACUGAAACAAAGCAUGUGAACAUUUCUUUGGCACGGCGUCAUUUGGAAAGCGCACUUUCUUGUGCUCACCUUGACUUUUAUGAGCUGAAGCGAUAUGAUACGUGAUAUGCCACGGCGAAGAUGUCUAGAAUCCGACGGUGCUACGCUGUUAGAAGAAUUGAUCGGAGCAUUCAAGUGGUUACCUAUUAUGCGUUCCUCAAAGACCAAGCAAUGCUAAUCGCUUGGCUGACAGAGACAGCCGUGAGGACUGAGUUCCACUCUAAGGAUGUCGUCCGAAAAUGUGAUCAUAGGAUACGCGCGGCUCCGGAGGCAAAUUGGAAUCUUGGCACGAAAUCAUCUGAAGUGAGAUAACCGACACACAAAUUUGGAACGUGCCACGGAGGAUCAAGGCGAAAAACGAGAGCUAAGGUAAGUCGGCGUUCGGAUAUCAAAAUAGGAAGCUUCAUGAAUCGAUUGUGCAGCUGUCAUACUGCGCUUCCUCUGAUAUAGUCACGAUUAACAACACAACAGUAUUGAUAAUCUAACUUCUGAAUUACCACAGGUGCACGCUGAAGGCGGAAAUGAAGCAGGGUCAGGCUUGCAUCUGGUGCAUGAAGACAUUGAUGACACGUUAGUUGCAGUCUAGCUGCCACCAACAGACAUCUUGGCACCACUCUUAAAUCUGCCCUCAACAUUGCAACCUCUGCUUUAAUAGUGGAAAACAAAGGUCGCCAUUCCGAUUAACUGCUAUCUCCCAGUCCAAACACUUUUGCUGUCCAAACUCUGUUUCCUGUGGACGGGGUGGUACAAGCGCUUCACUGUCGCAUAUAGAAGAAGAAGAAAAGACCAGAGAAAAACACGAAAACAGCGAUCUGGAAGGCUGUCUCUUCUAGUGCUGGCAUGGAGGCAAUACAAUGAGGUAACAUGUUCCAUUCAUGAACGGUACAU